GACGAACGCUGGCGGCGUGCCUAAUACAUGCAAGUAGAACGCUGAAGGAGGAGCUUGCUUCUCUGGAUGAGUUGCGAACGGGUGAGUAACGCGUAGGUAACCUGCCUGGUAGCGGGGGAUAACUAUUGGAAACGAUAGCUAAUACCGCAUAAUAGUAGAUGUCGCAUGACAUUUGCUUAAAAGGUGCAAUUGCAUCACUACCAGAUGGACCUGCGUUGUAUUAGCUAGUUGGUGAGGUAACGGCUCACCAAGGCAACGAUACAUAGCCGACCUGAGAGGGUGAUCGGCCACACUGGGACUGAGACACGGCCCAGACUCCCACGGGAGGCAGCAGUAGGGAAUCUUCGGAAAUGGACGGAAGUCUGAACGAGCAACGCCGCGAGAGUGAAGAAGGUUUUCGGAUCGUAAAGCUCUGUUGUAAGAGAAGAAAGAGUGUGAGAGUGGAAAGUUCACACUGUGACGGUAGCUUACCAGAAAGAGACGGCUAACUACGUG
rnacentral:rRNA from 1 species